ensembl:lncRNA
ACCCAUAUGGGCUGGGAACCAAAUGGUGUUUGACACUGAAAUAAAAUGAAUACAUUUCUUUCCUCAGUUAUGUCAACUGGCUGAGGAAGCAGAUGGCCCGGAAUCCUGGGGACCCCAUGGAAGCUGCCCUGAAUGACAUUAAGCGCUGCGACCAGAAGGCAGCCGCACCCCCAACAGCCUUAAAGACCCGGCCAGGUCCACUUGGUCGAGCGGUCGCAGCAUUUCUGGGGCAGCGAUCAGUGCCCCCAGGCAAACUGUAGUCGACGGUGAAGAAGAUCUUGGCCCCGAAGUCUGCAGUUCCAAGGCUGUCUGCUUCCCGAACAGCUCUGCAAUUGGCUCUAAAAUCCGCAGAUACCUCACAUGCAGAGCUGGUCGUUAUUGCUGUAGAAGUUGAAAAGUACAAAGGAAGGUACAUUGGGUAAGAAUCCCCUCCUCUCGACCGGGACAAAGGGAGGUGAAAAGUUCAUUCUAACUUACUAACACACUCCCAGCCUUGAACGUACAGGUCCAUCCAACAUUCCCUCCUGCCUCCCGUCCGGCUGAUGACCCAUCCCGUGCCCCCCAGUACCCACCCCUUGCCGUCCUGGACCAGGCCCCCCUGAGUUCAUCCCAGGCUCCUGUCCUUGUCCCGUUGGGGCAAAGAGAAGAAGAGGAGGAUGUGCCCUGGCUGUCCUUCCUGCCUCCA